GAUAGCCCAUACACGUCACGAAUGACGGUCAAUAAAUGUCAACGUUCUCGCCUCUAUUGGCAUUUUCGUAAAUUCAUUCUUUUGAAAAUUAUAAAAUUGUAAAAUUAGGGAAGGGUCAUCACAAUCUACCCACCUUAAAACAUUUCUUCCCCGAAAUUUGAAAUCAUUUGUUAUACAAAAAUAGUGAAAAAACAGCAGAAAAAUAACUAUGUAUAGAAGAUAUCAAGUUAGAGCGGUUGCAUAAAAUAGAAUGUCAUUCCUUCACGAUCGAAGUGCAGUGAUUCCUCUUUCAUGCCACCAAACUCAUACAUUCCUUCUCCUCCAGCACAAGAAUAUAAUAUACUGCUUUUAUAAAAACAUAACGUCGAAAAUAUUUAUAUAUGUAUAGUAACAUCCCGUCAAAAUACAUACAUACAUACAUACAUAUAUAUAUGUAUAUAAUAACGUAAAGCUAAAGUAAUUAUACUGAAAUUAAAACUGAACAUAGAACAUUUUCAGCCUACGCACUCAAUGCGUCACAUACGUAGAAGGUAAGUGUGUAGUAUCUUUGGGUCACGCCCAAACAAUAAGAAAUAAAUAACCUAACGUAUAAAUAAAUAGAAAUACUAACGUAGACCCACCUAUCCACCUGUUUAACGAAUCCAACGAAUAAGUUAUUGAUAAUACAGUCUGCAGCCCGUAAUACCAACAACUCACAAUUGUCUCGAUAAGUAAGUAACAAAUUCUCGAGGGUGCAAUAUUACCAUCAUGCCCCUCAUUGGGAAAUACACAUAAAUCAUCCAAUUAGUUCCUCAAUCACGCUCACGUAUUGUCCUCUCAGGCGACAAUGCAAAUAGCACAUAAUUUGCUACAUUGUAAUCUUGAUCAUUCAACAACCUAUUCACAAUACUCUUCUGUCACUCAUGUGAUGUGCAUAAAAUUUCCAUACUACGUCUUAACAGUGCCAUACCCAAAACCAAAAAUUGUAACCGUAGUUACAAGCAACUAAAAUAAAGAUAACUAUGUGUUACAACCAUGCUAAUUGUAGAACGGACAAAAUGCAACAUGUCCACUAAGGUUUGAGUAGGUUGUUUCAGACUAAUCGCUAGUCUGAGGGUGAAACGUGGUACGUGACAAAGCUUAAUACACACGGCCUUCAAGAAGGCAUCCAAAGAUUUGGAAAUGAAACACGUGUCACGGUGAUAUACAAUAGUGACAUGCACACCAUGUAGUUGAACACUGUAAUUUCCCUCGAAUUUAGCGAAAACUAUGUCAAGAAGGCUAAAAGAACACUCAAUAAUUUGAGGGAUGAGUCCAUCAAUUUAGGGUACAAAGUAAUUGGAGUGAAUGCAUGAUAUCUCACUACAACAUUAGUUUCCUGAAUAUUCAAUCACCAACGGUGAAGAUUCAUUCAACAGAGUAUUUGUUGGGUGAUUGAAGAAUUAAUUGUCACAACUAAAAUUUUCAAUGUCCGAGCAAUUCUUCAAGAUGAUAUGACUGUCCCAGAAACAAUAUAAAAGUGCAGUGGGUUGGACACAUACUCAAGGUUGAUUGAGAUGCCUUCCGGCACAAACAGGUGAAUAUGAAAUCACAGUCAAAGUAGAUGUUGAUCAAAACGUCAGAAAAUCUGAAAAUUUCAAGAAUAAGUAAUUUAACUAAAUGGUCUAAAACGUAGUCCUUCUAGACCAACGGAAAGUGAGUUGACUUGUCAAAUCGGUCAAUAAUCACUUAAACAUCAUAAUGAUAUCCACAUAUACAAGAUACCUCGUACCAUGAGCUUAUGGUGAUAUGUCCCAUCUUCAUUCAGAUGUCUCAUCUUCAUUCAGAUACAGGAAGUGAUUAUAAUCACUAAAAUGAUUUCUUGAUGAUUCGCAAAUAACAUCAUAUUCAAACUUAUGAAUUCCAGCUGAAACGAAAUAGGAAAGGCUAAGAAUGCUCAAAGGUAAAUAUGUUUUUGCUACUGUAAAUAGUAACCACGUUUGCACAACCAGGAUGAUACACGACAGUGCAAGCGUAGACAAUGUCUUGGUUCUUCCAUCACCAUGUCAGAAAUCUAAUUCUUUUCAGAUGAAUAUGUACUUAAGGGGUCUAAGGUUGAUAAAGAUUUUGGACACGUUUCUCCACAGAGAAAAGUCAUUCGGUUUCCAAACAAAGAUGGUAACUGUUGACUUAAAGUCAUAAGUAAGAUGGUUCAAUUUGUACAUUUCUAACCGUUGGAAAUAUAAGUGAUACUUUGUCAUGCUAUUUUCGCAUAGUCGAAACAUCCAAAGAACACGUCAUCAUGGAUUUUUAAGAUAGUCAAAGUUAUCGAAAUGUGUAAAACCAAUGUGAGAUGAGACAACAGUUCAGUUGUCAAGAACUUUAUUCAUAGUCAACAUCCCAAAUUAAACUAACUUUCCUCGAUCAUAAGUGAGGAAAAACACUAUAGCCGAAAAAUCGCUUAACAUAUUGUCAAUAAAUCGACAAGAUCAAAGAUAUCUCGAAUUUCACAACACUUGGUGAGAAUUUCAACCUUCCUCCACUAAACCCUUUUGGGAAGAGGAAAAGAAUAUCAUCCAUUGAGAGCAUGUCUCCCACAAAACGUAUAUGCUUUAAACAAGUUUGAAGAAUUUGGCUUCACUGCCGAGGUAGAUGAGAAAGUUAUGGAUAAGACCACUAUGAAUUCAUCAGACUAUGAAAGAAAACUCGAGUUACAAAGGUUGGUCGGGUACACUAUCAAUUCGAAGUGUGGGUAUUAACGG
rnacentral:lncRNA from 1 species